rnacentral:rRNA from 1 species
UAAUGUAUGGGGAUCUGCCCGAUAGAGGGGGAUAACUACUGGAAACGGUGGCUAAUACCGCAUAAUGUCUACGGACCAAAGCAGGGGCUCUUCGGACCUUGCACUAUCGGAUGAACCCAUAUGGGAUUAGCUAGUAGGUGGGGUAAAGGCUCACCUAGGCGACGAUCUCUAGCUGGUCUGAGAGGAUGAUCAGCCACACUGGACUGAGACACGGCCCAG